AGAAUAAGCCGAUCUGUUGGGCAGACACCAUCAGCAGAUGAUGAGCUUCUCUGAGCAAAUACUGCAGACCAAAUGAAGUUCUGUUGUAGUCUGUUACAGCAAAAAAUAACUGUGCUGUAGACACAGUUGAAAGACAUCCCUAGUUGACUGCAAUAAAGUACCUGCAUAAAUCUAUCCAGAUUAUCGACUGAGAUACUGUGCAGCCUCAGAAGGAGAUCUGUAAUGAUCUUUCAGCAUCACUCUAUUUGGGCUGUCUCUAUUCUUUACAGUCUUGCAGUUUUUACUCUUCUGUUGUAUUUAUUGGUGGAAACUGCUGCACCGUGGAGUGCCUGGAAUGAUAGUGCCAUGAAUAAAUUAACAGAGUUUUCACUUACAAACAAUGACACAGAACGUGGUAUGGCUGGAGAUAACAAAUGCUGGUAGUGUAGCCAGCAAGCCCAGUUUGGAUCUGUUUUUGUUUUUCUGGGGGUUGGGAGGUGGGUACAAAAGGUGCAUUUGAAGAUGGUUUGUCUUAGCAACACGUAUUGUCGUUGUAUAGGCCCAAGCUAGGCAUAUCACUCUUCUGUGCAAGGUAUUUCUUUUUACCCCUCAAACUCUGUCAAAUAUGACAAAUUUAGAGCUGAGUCCAAACUAAAAAUUUUGCUUCAUUUCUAUGAAGGCACAGAUUUCAUCCUCACAACAGAAAUGUAAAGUAAACUAAACUUCAGUUGGGAAAUAUAUAAUCUGUGCAUCUUGAGAACCCUUCCCUUUAGGCCCAAGUGCCACACUUAUCCCUAUUUUUUUGUCACCUCCGUGCUGAGCGUGUCACUGCAACAGUCUGAAUGAGGUGGUGUUCUCACUUUUUUUGCCAAAUAUCCAAACUAUUUAACCCAACUUUGACUUCAGUAGAGCCCCCGUAUGUUAUGAUACUGACUUCGCAUUUCCGUGAGUCUACUGCAUUAAAUAACACAGUAUGGGUAUUUUGAACUUUCUUGCUAUAAGACCUCCCCACGGAACUCCAUCUCUGGCUGGGAGCUGAUCAACAAAUGUUAGCAGAAUAGGUGGAAUGAGUCCAAACAUUACUGAUCUUCUCAGUUCACCUGAAUAGUUAAAGUUAAUUUUCUGUUCUGCAACAUUUAAAGGAUUUUCACAGUUCGCUUCUAAGUACACCCAGUCCUUUUUUUUCUUUUUAAUCUUCAUACAGCAGUAGUAAUAAAUUGUACAAGUCAGAUCAAUAAAAGGGGAUUUUGAAGAAGGGUGAAAAUAAAUGUCAUACUUCAUAAUUUCUU
ensembl:lncRNA